GUCGAGUGACACUGCGCCGAAAAUGUACCGGGGCUAAACAUAUUACCGAAGCUGUGGAUUGUCCUUUGGACAAUGGUAGGAGAGCGUUCUAAGGGCGUUGAAGCAUGAUCGUAAGGACAUGUGGAGCGCUUAGAAGUGAGAAUGCCGGUGUGAGUAGCGAAAGACGGGUGAGAAUCCCGUCCACCGAUUGACUAAGGUUUCCAGAGGAAGGCUCGUCCGCUCUGGGUUAGUCGGGUCCUAAGCUGAGGCCGACAGGCGUAGGCGAUGGAUAACAGGUUGAUAUUCCUGUACCACCUAUAAUCGUUUUAAUCGAUGGGGGGACGCAGUAGGAUAGGCGAAGCGUGCGAUUGGAUUGCACGUCUAAGCAGUAAGGCUGAGUAUUAGGCAAAUCCGGUACUCGUUAAGGCUGAGCUGUGAUGGGGAGAAGACAUUGAGUCUUCGAGUCGUUGAUUUCACACUGCCGAGAAAAGCCUCUAGAUAGAAAAUAGGUGCCCGUACCGCAAACCGACACAGGUAGUCAAGAUGAGAAUUCUAAGGUGAGCGAGCGAACUCUCGUUAAGGAACUCGGCAAAAUGACCCCGUAACUUCGGGAGAAGGGGUGCUCUUUAGGGUUAACGCCCAGAAGAGCCGCAGUGAAUAGGCCCAAGCGACUGUUUAUCAAAAACACAGGUCUCUGCUAAACCGUAAGGUGAUGUAUAGGGGCUGACGCCUGCCCGGUGCUGGAAGGUUAAGAGGAGUGGUUAGCUUCUGCGAAGCUACGAAUCGAAGCCCCAGUAAACGGCGGCCGUAACUAUAACGGUCCUAAGGUAGCGAAAUUCCUUGUCGGGUAAGUUCCGACCCGCACGAAAGGCGUAACGAUUUGGGCACUGUCUCAACGAGAGACUCGGUGAAAUCAUAGUACCUGUGAAGAUGCAGGUUACCCGCGACAGGACGGAAAGACCCCGUGGAGCUUUACUGUAGCCUGAUAUUGAAAUUCGGCACAGCUUGUACAGGAUAGGUAGGAGCCUUUGAAACGUGAGCGCUAGCUUACGUGGAGGCGCUGGUGGGAUACUACCCUAGCUGUGUUGGCUUUCUAACCCGCACCACUUAUCGUGGUGGGAGACAGUGUCAAGCGGGCAGUUUGACUGGGGCGGUCGCCUCCUAAAAGGUAACGGAGGCGCUCAAAGGUUCCCUCAGAAUGGUUGGAAAUCAUUCAUAGAGUGUAAAGGCAUAAGGGAGCUUGACUGCGAGACCUACAAGUCGAGCAGGGUCGAAAGACGGACUUAGUGAUCCGGUGGUUCCGCAUGGAAGGGCCAUCGCUCAACGGAUAAAAGCUACCCCGGGGAUAACAGGCUUAUCUCCCCCAAGAGUUCACAUCGACGGGGAGGUUUGGCACCUCGAUGUCGGCUCAUCGCAUCCUGGGGCUGUAGUCGGUCCCAAGGGUUGGGCUGUUCGCCCAUUAAAGCGGUACGCGAGCUGGGUUCAGAACGUCGUGAGACAGUUCGGUCCCUAUCCGUCGUGGGCGUAGGAAAUUUGAGAGGAGCUGUCCUUAGUACGAGAGGACCGGGAUGGACAUACCUCUGGUGUACCAGUUGUCGUGCCAACGGCAUAGCUGGGUAGCUAUGUGUGGACGGGAUAAGUGCUGAAAGCAUCUAAGCAUGAAGCCCCCCUCAAGAUGAGAUUUCCCAACUUCGGUUAUAAGAUCCCUCAAAGAUGAUGAGGUUAAUAGGUUCGAGGUGGAAGCAUGGUGACAUGUGGAGCUGACGAAUACUAAUCGAUCGAAGACUUAAUCAA
rnacentral:rRNA from 1 species